rnacentral:rRNA from 1 species
CCUACGGGUGGCAGCAGUGAGGAAUAUUGGUCAAUGGUCGUGAGCCUGAACCAGCCAAGUCGCGUGAGGGAGGCAGGUGCCGUGUAUCGUAAACCUCUUUUGUAAGGGAACAAAGACUGGGACGCGUCCUCUGUUGUGUGUACCUUAUGAAAAAGGAUCGGCUAACUCCGUGCCAGCAGCCGCAGUACUACGGAGGAUGCGAGCGUUAUCCGGAUUUAUUGGGUUUACAGGGUGCGUAGGCGGUCUGUUAAGUCAGCGGUCAAAGCGCGUGGCUCAACCUCGUCCCGCCGUUGACACUGGGAGCCUCGAGGUGGCGAGAAGUAGGCGGAAUGCGGGGUGUAGCGGUGAAAGGCAUAGAUAUCACGCAGAACUCCGAUUGAGAAGGCAGCAUGCCGGCUCCACACUGACGCUGAAGCACGAAGGCGUGGGUAUCGAACAGGAUUAGAUACCCCAGUAGUC